rnacentral:rRNA from 1 species
GACGGAGGAUGCAAGCGUUAUCCGGAAUUAUUGGGCGUAAAGCGUCCGUAGGCGGUUAAGGAAGUCUGCUGUUAAAGGUCACAGCUCAACUGUGAAACGGCAGUGGAAACUCCUUGACUUGAGAGUGGUAGGGGUAGAGGGAAUUCCUAGUGUAGCGGUGAAAUGCGUAGAUAUUAGGAAGAACACCAGUGGCGAAGGCGCUCUACUGGGCCAUUACUGACGCUGAUGGACGAAAGCUAGGGGAGCGAAAGGG